rnacentral:rRNA from 1 species
GCCCAAGAGAUCGGGAUAACACCUGGAAACAGAUGCUAAUACCGGAUAACAACAGAUGAUGCCUAUCAACUGUUUAAAAGAUGGUUCUGCUAUCACUCUUGGAUGGACCUGCGGUGCAUUAGCUAGUUGGUAGGGUAACGGCCUGCCAAGGCGAUGAUGCAUAGCCGAGUUGAGAGACUGAUCGGCCACAUUGGGACUGAGACACGGCCCAAACUCCUACGGGAGGCAGCAGUA